GCCUGGGUGGCUCAGUCGGUUAAGCAUCCGGCGCUUGAUUUUGGCUCAGGUCAUGAUCUUGCGGUUCGUGGGUUCGAGCCCCCCCUCGGGCU
rnacentral:tRNA from 1 species